GGGGAUAUAGCUCAGUUGGUAGAGUGCUUGCCUUGCAUGCACAUGGCCUGGGUUCAUUCCCCAGCACCA
rnacentral:tRNA from 1 species